AUCUUCCUUAUAUUUAUAUAAAUAUAUAUAAUAUAUAUAUUUUGCUGAUGCAGUAUACAGUGUGUAUAUAUGUGUGUGUGUGUGUGUGUGUAUGUGUGUGUAAAUUUAUAUACACACACAUGCAAACAGUUCCUGGAAGAGAAUUCUGAAUGCUUUGCUAGCAAAACACUGUGGUGUGCAAACCUAGAACCCAAUAGAAAAAAAAGCCAUUUAUCUGAAGGCUGCAUAGUGGAGAGAGUCUUCAGUUUACCUCAUUCUUUGUAGCAGCCCUUGAUUUUAACAGGUUUUUGUAAUAGGUACAGAUAAUCCCAUACCUUUCUAGGUGCGAUUUUAAGUUAAGCUAAAAAUUAUUUGUAGGGUUAAUUUAUUUGUAUAUGAUAGUAGAAGGUAAGAUCAUGUCAAACCUUAUAAUUUGGGGAAUCUGACACUAUUUAAAUUAUUGGCAACUGUUGUCUGUUGUACAGAGAUUCUUUUUCUACUGGCUCAGUCUGUUACAUUAAUAAUGCAUUUUAUAUGUUCAGGCACACUUUACAUAAAUACAAAGUUCGCUAGUAAAUAUCUGGCUAUUUUGGCUAUUUACAACACUAAUUUCAUUAUUUUUAUCUGUAAGCAUUAUUAAUACAUCUUUACCAAAACCUGAGCAAUACAAUAUUUUCUUUAUAUGUUAUAUGCCUUUGUUUGCUAAAAGCUAAUAUUUUUGCAUUUACUUUAAAGGGCUGUACUAAACCCACAGCUUUAAGUUCUUCCCUAAAAGAAGCAUUGCAGCUAACCCUUGAACUCACAGUUUUAAAAUACAGUAUUUCUCUUCUCCACAUCUCCAUGCCUUCGCAUCAAUGCUUGUUUUUCCUGGUGAACACUAUAGAUAAUCUCCUGUUUGAAAUGUGGGACAGGGUGUUUCAUGGCAGUGGAGCUAAGUUUCUCCUCUUUAUAGUGAACUGGUGACCCAAAUGUCCCUGUCAUUUAUAGUGAACUGAUGACCCAAAUGACUCCCUGUCAGUAGAGUCCCAUGUGGCCCAUGCUUCACACAAGCAGAAAUGAACGCACUGUUUUUAAGGCUAGAUUAUCAGUUCUAGAAUGAUUACUUCAAAGAUGGGAGCUACCUCCUCAGAUAUUCACACUAUGAAAUGGAGGUGCUUGAUGUGUUUCACACUGGCUUGUUUGACAGUCUUCUAUCUUACUGUUAAUUCAGCAGUAUUUUAUUGUGAAAGAAAACCCCAGUGUUUGAGCUCACUCAGGAAUUGGGGAGAGAGAUGGACCACCACUGUGGUGCAUUUCUUAAGUGUUCUGGGAGAAUGUCAUACUUUUCCUUCCCAGAGUAAAAGAAACCUUUGGGAGAUCCUGAGGGAGACUGUUUCUCCCCAAGUAUGAUGAUGUCUAGUCAAGUCUAAGAAUACCACUGGACAUGUUCUAUGGACAUUUGGGAUUGCAGUUGCUAUUCUGAUUUGAUUGGUCCUCAGUCAAAUGGAUCACUUUGAAGGAAAGCUUUGGUUGUCACCGUUAUAUACCACUGAGAUAAAGUGUUAGCAAAGUAUGGUUCAAAUUAACUUAUGACAUGACCAAGAGCUUUUCUCUUCCAAAAGAUGAAUUGUAUUGUAAAUAGUUUCUCAAAAUAUUUUUAACUGGAUCAUGAGCAUGGGGAGAGAAAGUUUCUCAGCUGCUAAGAAUUUCCCCACUGUUUACUUCUUUCACUUAUGGUGGUAUUGCAUUUAAGAUUACAAAAUUUAAGGUUUUAUUUGUAUCUAUUACCCAAACCAUUAAAUUGUCUUUAAUUUCAUUGUUGUCUUGGAGGUCCAGUGCAUACAGGGCUGAUGGGGGAAAACUCCCUCUAGCCAGUCAGCACUCUAACCCAGGAUUAAACCAUCCCAUCAAGUAGUAUGUGAAGUCAAGUCUUCGUACUCUUGCAGACCAGACAUUGAAAUGGAUUCAUUCAUAUAGAUUUCUAUAAAUCCUAUAAGUGAAAAGAUAGACAACUGUCCGCAGUUGCUUUUAAAAAAGGUCACUAUAAUAAGUACUAUAUAGUACAGUAUUAAUUUAUAGCAGGAAAUCGUAUCUUGUAAACUGUAUAUAAAACACUGUUUUAUGGUGCAAUCAUUUGUCAAACUUUUGUCUGUUUCAUUGUUUUUAGAGUGUGUGCAUUCUUCUCAUACCUAAGAAUAUCACUGUAAAAUCUGCUGAAAACUAUUUUUAGGUUUUAUUUGCACAAGACUGAAUUAGUUUGACAUUUUUGGAAGCUCCUAUUGAACAUACCCAAACAUCUGUAAACAUGAAAAAUCUUCAAUUUAUUAAAAGCAAACAUUUCAGUAUGAUUCUUUCCAAAGGUAAUCCAUGUUCUAUGUUGUUAAUGUGUGUAUGUAAUUUUUCUGACUCUUCCACCUCUUAUAAACCUAUUUUCUGUUUCAUUUGUUUUGUUUUUGAAGGAUGGCUCUUUUUUCUUUUUAAUGUUCUAGAUGACCAAAACACUAUUGGUUUUUACCCUUUUGCCUAAAGCUUUGAUAUCCCCACUUGAUGUUCUGUGAAUUCACUGUUUAAUCUAUUAAGUGAAAUAAUAAAUAGUCCUGGUGACAAACAAUCUGUUGAUUUAGAGGAAAGGCCCUGAAAAAUACAGUAUUGGAAACUAACUUUGCAUAUGCUGUUAGCUAUUAUUUUGCAUCAUGGGCUUCAUGGGAAGAACAUGUUGCAUUUAUUUUGUCUUUAUUAAAAGACUACUAGCCACAAGUUACUCUGAUUAUAGUAACUGUUUUAUCAACCCACUUCAUCUUUAAAAAAUUAAAUUUACAUUCACAAUUCAAAACAGUAAGCUGUCUUUCAGAAAAUUUUUGAAGGAUAAAAACAUGAAGGAAAAAAGUGGCCCGUGUAGGUAGGAUUCCCUACACAGGACUUUUAGUUGUAUCACCUCAAGAGAUUUUGAAGUUUGUGAUCAAGGUCUGUAUAUUAUCCCAAACUUUAUUAAGAAUUGUUUUCUAAUUGGUUAUAACAUUUUUCAAUUAAUAGUUUCAAAACAAAUUGUUAAUACAACUGUAUAAAAUGAACAUAAUUUUCCUCACUUGUAUUUUUGUUAUUGAGCAAGUUUAUCAAAAUAAAUUGUCUACUAAAGAAACU
rnacentral:lncRNA from 1 species